CCAAUAGCGUAUAUUAAAGUUGUUGCAGUUAAAAAGCUCGUAGUUGAAUUUCGGAGUUUGUCGGUUGGUCGGGCUUCACUGUCCGCACUGGCCUGAUGGAUUCCUACCUUCUGAAUAACCAGCAUGCUAUUAAGUUAGUGCGUUGGGGAAGCAGAGCUAUUACCUUGAAAAAAUUAGAGUGCUUAAAGCAGGCUUAUGCUUGAAUAGAUUAGCAUGGAAUAAUAAAAUAGGACGGCAUGGUUCUAUUUUGUUGGUUUCUAGGAUCACCGUAAUGAUUAAUAGGGAUAGUUGGGGGCAUUAGUAUUCAAUUGUCAGAGGUGAAAUUCUUGGAUUUAUUGAAGACUAACUUCUGCGAAAGCAUUUGCCAAGGAUGUUUUUAUUAAUCAAGAACGAAAGUUAGGGGAUCGAAGACGAUCAGAUACCGUCGUAGUCUUAACCAUAAACUAUGCCGACUAGGGAUCGGACGAUGUUAAUUUUUUAAUGACUCGUUCGGCGCCUUACG
rnacentral:rRNA from 1 species